rnacentral:rRNA from 1 species
GACUGCCGGUGACAAACCGGAGGAAGUGGGGAUGACGUCAAGUCCUCAUGGCCCUUAUGGGUAGGGCUUCACACGUCAUACAAUGGUCGGUACAGAGGGUUGCCAAGCCGCGAGGCGGAGCCAAUCCCAGAAAGCCGAUCGUAGUCCGGAUUGCAGUCUGCAACUCGACUGCAUGAAGUCGGAAUCGCUAGUAAUCGCGGAUCAGCAUGCCGCGGUGAAUACGUUCCCGGGUCUU